rnacentral:rRNA from 1 species
UACAGAGGUCUCAAGCGUUGUUCGGAUUCAUUGGGCGUAAAGGGUGCGUAGGUGGCGGGGCAAGUUUGGUGUGAAAUCCCGGGGCUCAACCCUGGAACUGCACUGAAUACUGCUUUGCUAGAGUACUGGAGAGGGAACUGGAAUUUACGGUGUAGCAGUGAAAUGCGUAGAUAUCGUAAGGAAGACCAGUGGCGAAGGCGAGUUCCUGGACAGUUACUGACACUGAGGCACGAAGGCCAGGGGAGCAAACAGG